rnacentral:rRNA from 1 species
UACGUAGGGUGCGAGCGUUGCCCGGAUUUAUUGGGCGUAAAGGGCGCGCAGGCGGCCACGCACGUCCGUUGUGAAAUCGCCCGGCUCAACUGGGCGGGGUCAGCGGAUACGGCGUGGCUGGAGGCAAGCUAGGGGGCAAUGGAAUUCCCGGUGUAGUGGUGGAAUGCGUAGAUAUCGGGAGGAACACCAGUGGCGAAGGCGGUUGCCUGGAGCUUUGCUGACGCUGAGGCGCGAAAGCGUGGGGAGCGAUCCGG